UACGGAGGAUGCGAGCGUUAUCCGGAUUUAUUGGGUUUAAAGGGUGCGUAGGCGGACUGUCAAGUCAGCGGUAAAAUUGAAAGGCUCGACCUCUUCCCGCCGUUGAAACUGGUGGUCUUGAGUGGAUGAGAAGUACGCGGAAUGCGUGGUGUAGCGGUGAAAUGCAUAGAUAUCACGCAGAACUCCGAUUGCGAAGGCAGCGUACCGGCAUCCAACUGACGCUGAGGCACGAAAGCGUGGGGAUCAAACAGG
rnacentral:rRNA from 1 species